UUUUCCAUUUUUCUCCUAAAAGCCCCAAAUUUUCGAAAUCACUCCCAAUCUUUUAGAAAAUGUUGAAAACCAUUUUAAUACUAUUGAUGCCAUUUAAUUGCAGCAAGAAAUCGGAAUUUCUUACCUUAAGAAGCCGAAAGAAAAGGUGGAGGAAAAUUCUUCCAAGGUUGAUGCAAGCUCUAGCCCAAACUAGCUAUUUUUGAUGGUGAAGGAGAUGGAGUUGAUUUUCAAGUGAGAUGAAUAUUUUUUUCUCGGUGAAUGGUGUUGUAGGCUAAUCAAAGUCCAUGGUUAAAUAGGAGACUUGGAAAUGAUUUUUCAUUUUCUUUGAAAAAAACAGAAGGUGAGGUGGAAGAAGAUGAAGAAUGGAGGUGGUGGUGAGGUUUCGGUGGAAUGGAGAGAGGAAGACAAGCAAGG
rnacentral:lncRNA from 1 species